AGCGUAGGCGGACUUUUAAGUGAGAUGUGAAAUACCCGGGCUUAACUUGGGUGCUGCAUUUCAAACUGGAAGUCUAGAGUGCAGGAGAGGAGAAUGGAAUUCCUAGUGUAGCGGUGAAAUGCGUAGAGAUUAGGAAGAACACCAGUGGCGAAGGCGAUUCUCUGGACUGUAACUGACGCUGAGGCUCGAAAGCGUGGGGAGCAAACAG
rnacentral:rRNA from 1 species